GGGCAGCAGUAGGGAAUCUUCCACAAUGGACGAAAGUCUGAUGGAGCAACGCCGCGUGAGUGAAGAAGGUUUUCGGAUCGUAAAACUCUGUUGUAAGGGAAGAACACGUACGAGAGUAACUGCUCGUACCUUGACGGUACCUUAUUAGAAAGCCACGGCUAACUACGUGCCAGCAGCCGCGGUAAUACGUAGGUGGCAAGCGUUGUCCGGAAUUAUUGGGCGUAAAGCGCGCGCAGGCGGUCCUUUAAGUCCGAUGUGAAAGCCCACGGCUCAACCGUGGAGGGUCAUUGGAAACUGGGGGACUUGAGUACAGAAGAGGAAAGCGGAAUUCCACGUGUAGCGGUGAAAUGCGUAGAGAUGUGGAGGAACACCAGUGGCGAAGGCGGCUUUCUGGUCUGUAACUGACGCUGAGGCGCGAAAGCGUGGGGAGCAAACAGGAUUAGAUACCCUGGUAGUCCACGCCGUAAACGAUGAGUGCUAAGUGUUAGGGGGUUUCCGCCCCUUAGUGCUGCAGCUAACGCAUUAAGCACUCCGCCUGGGGAGUACGGCCGCAAGGCUGAAACUCAAAGGAAUUGACGG
rnacentral:rRNA from 1 species